rnacentral:snRNA from 1 species
GCAUUUGCUUCAGAAAUGCACAAGCUAAAUCUGGAACAAAACAGACAUUAGUAUGACCCAUGCAAAAGGGUCACAUGUAAAUCUGGACACCUUUAUU